AGAGUUUGAUCCUGGCUCAGGACGAACGCUGGCGGCGCGCCUAACACAUGCAAGUCGAACGGAGCUUAGAGAGCUUGCUUUUUUAAGCUUAGUGGCGAACGGGUGAGUAACGCGUGAGUAACCUGCCCUAGAGUGGGGGACAACAGUUGGAAACGACUGCUAAUACCGCAUAAGCCCACGGUGCCGCAUGGUACUGAGGGAAAAGGAUUUAUUCGCUUUAGGAUGGACUCGCGUCCAAUUAGCUAGUUGGUGAGGUAACGGCCCACCAAGGCGACGAUUGGUAGCCGGACUGAGAGGUUGAACGGCCACAUUGGGACUGAGACACGGCCCAGACUCCUACGGGAGGCAGCAGUGGGGAAUAUUGCACAAUGGGGGAAACCCUGAUGCAGCGACGCCGCGUGGAGGAAGAAGGUCUUCGGAUUGUAAACUCCUGUUGUUGGGGAAGAUAAUGACGGUACCCAACAAGGAAGUGACGGCUAACUACGUGCCAGCAGCCGCGGUAAAACGUAGGUCACAAGCGUUGUCCGGAAUUACUGGGUGUAAAGGGAGCGCAGGCGGGAAGACAAGUUGGAAGUGAAAUCUAUGGGCUCAACCCAUAAACUGCUUUCAAAACUGUUUUUCUUGAGUAGUGCAGAGGUAGGCGGAAUUCCCGGUGUAGCGGUGGAAUGCGUAGAUAUCGGGAGGAACACCAGUGGCGAAGGCGGCCUACUGGGCACCAACUGACGCUGAGGCUCGAAAGUGUGGGUAGCAAACAGGAUUAGAUACCCUGGUAGUCCACACUGUAAACGAUGAUUACUAGGUGUUGGGGGAUUGACCCCCUCAGUGCCGCAGUUAACACAAUAAGUAAUCCACCUGGGGAGUACGACCGCAAGGUUGAAACUCAAAGGAAUUGACGGGGGCCCGCACAA
rnacentral:rRNA from 1 species